rnacentral:rRNA from 1 species
GAUGAACGCUGGCGGCGUGCUUAACACAUGCAAGUCGAACGAAGCACUUUAUUUGAUUUCCUUCGGGACUGAUUAUUUUGUGACUGAGUGGCGGACGGAUGAGUAACGCGUGGGUAACCUGCCUUGUACAGGGGGAUAACAGUUGGAAACGGCUGCUAAUACCGCAUAAGCGCACAGCAUCGCAUGAUGCAGUGUGAAAAACUCCGGUGGUAUAAGAUGGACCCGCGUUGGAUUAGCUAGUUGGUGAGGUAACGGCCCACCAAGGCGACGAUCCAUAGCCGACAUGAGAGGGUGACCGGACACAUUGGGACUGAGCCACGGCCCAAACUCCUACGGAAGGCAGCAGUGGGGAAUAUUGCACCAUGGGCGAAAGCAUGAUGCAGCGACGCCGCGUGAGCGAAGAAGUAUUUCGGUAUGUAAAGCUCUAUCAGCAGGGAAGAUAAUGACGGUACCUGACUAAGAAGCACCGGCUAAAUACGUG